rnacentral:tRNA from 1 species
AAACAGAAAGUUAGUCUAAUCAAGACAGUUGAUUUCGGCUCAACAAACCAUAGUCCAACCCUAUGACUUUCUUU